rnacentral:rRNA from 1 species
CCCCCCACGACAGACCGCCCGCGUUAAACCCAUACCCAGAGAAAAAGUGAGAGUGUGACAUUUUUUCGAUCGCACCCGCCCCGGUGGAAAAAAGAUUUCACACACUUCCCCAAAAAAAGGAUAACCCCCCAAAAGGCGAGACAAAACCCUUUGUAAAUCUCUUGGAGGCCUCAAGUUAGGUUAUAAAUUUAUUGUUUUUGGAGGGGGAAUGGUUUUGAUAUACUUUUUGGGGGGGGGAAAAACCCACCCAAGGGCAACGACCGGUAGGGGUUUUAAAAGGAAAGUUCCCCCCCCAUUGGGAAUUAAGACAAGGGUCCAAACUCCCUACGGGAGGGCAGCAGGGAGGAAUUUUUGUCAAAUGGGCGGGAGCCCUAAACCCGGCCAAGUAGGCGUGCAAGGACGACGGCCCCUAUGGGGUUGUAAACUGCUUUUUGAAUGGGGGAUAAAAGUCAAAUCACGUGUGAUUUGUUUGCAGGUACCAUACGAAUAAGGACCGGCUAAAUUCCGUGCCAGCAGCCGCGGUAAUACGGAAGGUUCGGGCGUUAUCCGGAUUUAUUGGGUUUAAAGGGAGCGUAGGCCGGAGAUUAAGUGUGUUGUGAAAUGUAGACGCUCAACGUCUGACUUGCAGCGCAUACUGGUUUCCUUGAGUACGCACAACGUUGGCGGAAUUCGUCGUGUAGCGGUGAAAUGCUUAGAUAUGACGAAGAACUCCGAUUGCGAAGGCAGCUGACGGGAGCGCCACUGACGCUUAAGCUCGAAGGUGCGGGUAUCGAACAGG